AUGUUUAACAUAAAACCGUUUAACUUAAAAAGUUUUUUUACCUAUUUUUAUUUUCUAGUUUUUAGUUUUUAUUUCGCAUUCUGUUUAAUUCAUUUAGUGCUUCAUUAUUGCAAGGUUCCUUGCCCAUUAAUCGGUUGACAGGAAGAGGGUGAAAUUUGAAUUACUAAAUUUGACCCAAGAAUAAAACAAACGGGGUGAGCUAAAUAAAACCGUUUAAAAA